UCGUCAGAAUCAACGCUGGCGGCGUGCCUAACACAUGCAAGUCGAACGAGAAAGGGACUUCGGUCCUGAGUAAAGUGGCGCACGGGUGAGUAACACGUGACUAACCUACCCUUGAGUGGGGAAUAACUAGGAGAAAUCUUAGCUAAUACCGCAUAAUACCUACGGGUCAAAGGAGCAAUUCGCUUAAGGAGGGGGUCGCGGCAGAUUAGUUAGUUGGCGGGGUAAUGGCCCACCAAGACAGUGAUCUGUAUCCGGCCUGAGAGGGCGCACGGACACACUGGAACUGAAACACGGUCCAGACUCCUACGGGAGGCAGCAGUGGGGAAUUUUGCGCAAUGGGGGAAACCCUGACGCAGCAACGCCGCGUGGAGGAUGAAGUCCCUUGGGACGUAAACUCCUUUCGAUCGGGACGAUAAUGACGGUACCGAGAGAAGAAGCCCCGGCUAACUUCGUGCCAGCAGCCGCGGUAAUACGAGGGGGGCGAGCGUUGUUCGGAAUUAUUGGGCGUAAAGGGUGCGUAGGCGGUUCGGUAAGUCUUGUGUGAAAUCUUCGGGCUCAACUCGAAGUCUGCACCAGAAACUGCCGGGCUUGAGUAUGGGAGAGGUGAGUGGAAUUUCCGGUGUAGCGGUGAAAUGCGUAGAUAUCGGAAGGAACACCUGUGGCGAAAGCGGCUCACUGGACCAUAACUGACGCUGAUGCACGAAAGCUAGGGGAGCAAACAGGAUUAGAUACCCUGGUAGUCCUAGCCCUAAACGAUGAUCGCUUGGUGUGACGGGUACCCAAUCCCGCCGUGCCGAAGCUAACGCGUAAGCGAUCCGCCA
rnacentral:rRNA from 1 species